UGCCGGCAAAAAACGGCUUAUGGGGACACCACCCCGUACCCAGGAGAACUGGGAUAGGACUUCUUGAAGGAGAAAACAAAUG
rnacentral:ncRNA from 1 species